UACGUAGGGUGCGAGCGUUGCCCGGAUUUAUUGGGCGUAAAGGGCGCGUAGGCGGCUCGGCACGUCCGUUGUGAAAUCGCUCGGCUCAACUGGGCGAGGUCAGCGGAUACGGUCGAGCUUGAGCCAGCUAGGGGGCAAUGGAAUUCCCGGUGUAGUGGUGGAAUGCGUAGAUAUCGGCAGGAACACCCAGGGGGAAACCAGCCGGCUGGGGACGGGCUGACGCUCAGGGGCGAAAGCGUGGGGAGCGAACCGG
rnacentral:rRNA from 1 species